rnacentral:tRNA from 1 species
GGCCGUGUGGCUCAAUGGCAGAGUGUUUGACUACGAUCCCCAAGUAAUCAAAAGGUUGCAGGUUCGAGUCCUGCCUCGGUCA